rnacentral:rRNA from 1 species
AACAAACGCUGGCGGCGUGCAUAACACAUGCAAGUCUAACGGGAAAGUCGGCUUCGGCUGGCAAGUACCGUGGCGAACGGGUGAGUAACACGUGGGUAAUCUAACCUCGAGUUUGGGAUAACCUUGCGAAAGCGGGGCUAAUACCGAAUAAGACCACGCUUGGUUCGCCAAGUGCGGUAAAAGGCGGCCUCUUCUUGAAAGCUGUCACUUGAGGAUGAGCCCGCGGCCUAUUAGCUAGUUGGUGGGGUAAUGGCCUACCAAGGCGACGAUGGGAAGCCGGCCUGAGAGGGUGUACGGCCACACUGGCACUGAGAUACGGGCCAGACUCCUACGGGAAGCAGCAGUGGGGAAUUUUGCGCAAUGGGGGAAACCCUGACGCAGCAACGCCGCGUGAGUGAUGAAGGCCUUCGGGUCGUAAAGCUCUUUUAGUGGGGAAGAAUCCCACCCGGGCUAAUACCUCGGGUGUCUGACGGUACCCACAGAAAAAGUUCCGGCUAACUACGUGCCAGCAGCCGCCGUAACAC